UCAAGUCAUUUGGGUGUGUGCCACACGAGCAGUUUUAAACUGAAGAAAAUUUGUUCAGUGUUAUUUGGUUGUCGAGGUAAUCACAUUUACUGAAUGAAGAUCCACCGUUUGUCUGUAGUUUAAACACGCCGCCCCUUGAAGAUUAGCUAAAUUUAACCACAGGCGAUUAGAAGAGGGUGAAAGUGAGAUGAAUAUUGAUGUCGUGGCCGUCGAAUAUACGAGACCUACCCCAAUGUUGGAAGAUUACAAGAAUUAUUUUCAGGCGGGAUAACCGGGUGGGGAAAUACAGGCAUAUCAUCUUUGCAACAGCUAGAUAAACAACUUGAUUUGUUGAAAGAUACCAAGACCUGUAUAUGGAUGCCACUUUCAAAGUCGUUAAAAAGUCAUUUACACAACUUUUCUCAUUCCAUGUGUAUUAUAUGAACCUAUAAAUAAGGGGGAAAAGUGUAUCGGGGCUUUUAAAGGACGUGGGUCGUUUGGUAGCGGUGUAGGAAUAUAUUUGUGC